rnacentral:rRNA from 1 species
ACAGGCCUAACACAUGCAAGUCGAACGAGAAGCAUUCCUUCGGGGGUGUGGACAGUGGCGCACGGGUGAGUAACGCGUGGGAACCUACCUUUUGGUACGGAACAACCAAUGGAAACGUUGGCUAAUACCGUAUACGUCCCCUUUGGCGGGAGCUUUAGGGGAGAAAGAUUUAUCGCCGAGAGAUGGGCCCGCGUCCGAUUAGUUAGUUGGUGGGGUAAUGGCCUACCAAGACGUCGAUCGGUAGCUGGUCUGAGAGGAUGAUCAGCCACACUGGGACUGAGACACGGCCCAGACUCCUACGGGAGGCAGCAGUGGGGAAUAUUGGACAAUGGGCGCAAGCCUGAUCCAGCCAUGCCGCGUGAGUGAAGAAGGCCCUAGGGUUGUAAAGCUCUUUCACCCGCGAAGAUAAUGACGGUAGCGGGAGAAGAAGCCCCGGCUAACUCCGUGCCAGCAGCCGCGGUAAUACGGAGGGGGCAAGCGUUGUUCGGAAUUACUGGGCGUAAAGGGCGCGUAGGCGGUCUGUUGCGUCAGGUGUGAAAGCCCCGGGCUCAACCUGGGAGGUGCACUUGAUACGGGCAGGCUAGAAUCCGGGAGAGGAUGGUGGAAUUCCCAGUGUAGAGGUGAAAUUCGUAGAUAUUGGGAAGAACACC